rnacentral:rRNA from 1 species
UGUGAUGAAGGUCUUAGGAUUGUAAAACACUUUCAGCAAGGGAAAAAAUUAAUAUAAAUAAUACUUAUAUUAACUGAUAUUACCUGCAAAAGAAGUACCGGCUAACUCCGUGCCAGCAGCCGCGGUAAUACGGAGGGUACAAGCGUUAAUCGGAAUUAUUGGGCGUAAAGAGUACGUAGGUGGUAUAUUAAGUCUGAUGUGAAAUACUUAAGCUUAACUUAAGAACUGCAUUUGAAACUAAUAAACUAGAGUUUUAUAGAGGGGAGUAGAAUUCCAAGUGUAGCGGUGAAAUGCGUAGAUAUUUGGAGGAAUACCAGAGGCGAAGGCGACUCCCUGGGUAAUAACUGACACUGAGGUACGAAAGCUUGGGGAGCAAACAGGAUUAGAUACCCUGGUAGUCCAUGCUGUAAACGAUGUCAAUUUGAAGAUUGUAAUAUUAUUAUUUUUUAUAAUUUUCGUAGCUAACGCAUUAAAUUGACCGCUGGGGAUUACGACCGCAAGGUUAAAACUCAAAACUGACAUUGACGGGGACCCGCAACAAGCGGUGGAGCAUGUGGUUUAAUUCCGAUACAACGGCGAAAAAAAC